CAGAGUUUCACUCUUGUUGCCCAAGCUGGAGUGCAAUGGCACAAUCUCGGCUCACUGCAACCUCUGCCUCCCAGGUUCAAAUGAUUCUCCUGCCUCAGCCUCCCAAGUAGCUAGGAUUACAGGCUGCGCUCGGCUCACACUACCAACCAGGAUCCCUCCCCUGCCGAGGGAGACUGCAUGAAGUGCAGAAUGAAAAGUCCUCCAGAGCAGAGAUUUUUAUUCAUCAGUGUCUCCCAGCACUUACUACCUAGUAGAUCUUAAGACAAAUGUGUUGAAUGAAUGCAUGAAAUAAAAGAAAAGAAGAUAUGAAGUAUUAAGCACAUUGCCUGGCCCAUAGCAGGCAUUGAUCCUGAGAGUUCUCCCCAGCAAACUUCCAGCAUACAAAUAGGCGCCUCAGAGGCGCCUCAUCCUAAGACAGUGUGGAGCAGACAGGGAAGCUGAAGCCUGGAGACCAUCUGAGAAGACGGUGAGCAAAAGCCAUGAGGUACCAGACACUACGGUCUCACAGAAGUCAUUCCGAGGUCAGGAGCCACAGAUUAAAAAUGAGAAAAAAAAAGUAGACGGGGUCAAGUCACUUUCUCAACGUAUCCUGAACAUCAGUUGAAGUAACGAGAAGUUGUUUUCCCUUCCUGCCAACUGGAAAGAGCCUCAGGACCACACUCAGCCAGGCACCAGAGCUGGGCAUCUGCCUUGUGUCUGUCUUGUCCUUCCACUUCCCUUGACCCUUGGACCAGUGACAGGGACACUCUGCCUACAUUUGUCAGCCUCUCCCUUUGAGGAACUGGCCAACGUUCUCU